AGCGAAUGCUGGCGGUAGGCCUAACACAUGCAAGUCGAACGGCAGCACAGUAAGAGCUUGCUCUUACGGGUGGCGAGUGGCGGACGGGUGAGGUAUACAUCGGAAUCUUCUCUUUCGGGGGGGAUAACGUAGGGAAACUUACGCUAAUACCGCAUACGACGCACGGGUGAAAGCAGGGGAUCUUCGGACCUUGCGCGAUUGAACGAGCCGAUGUCGGACUAGCUAGUUGGCGGGGUCAAGGCCCACCAAGGCGACGAUCCGUAGCUGGUCUGAGAGGAUGGUCGGCGACCCUGGAUCGUAGCCACGGUCCAGACUCCUACGGGAGGCACCAGUCGAGAAUGUUAGGCAGCAGGCGCAAGCCUGGUCCAGCCAGACCGCGUCUGAGGAGAAGGCGUUGCGGGUGUAAAGCCCUUUUGCUGGGAGUGAACAGCAGCAGGCUAAUACCCCGCUGUACUGACGGCACCCAAUGAAUAAGCACCGGCUAACUUCGUG
rnacentral:rRNA from 1 species